rnacentral:rRNA from 1 species
UACAGAGGUCCCAAGCGUUGUUCGGAUUCACUGGGCGUAAAGGGUGCGUAGGUGGCCGGGUAAGUCUGACGUGAAAUCUCCGAGCCUAACUCGGAAACUGCAUCGGAUACUAUCCGGCUUGAGGGUUGGAGGGGGGACUGGAAUACUUGGUGUAGCAGUGAAAUGCGUAGAUAUCAAGUGGAACACCAGUGGCGAAGGCGAGUCCCUGGACAACUCCUGACACUGAGGCACGAAGCUAGGGAGCAAACAGG